AGGCGGCAGCACCACAUGAAUCUCUCGCUAGUCCUCCUGUUCUCAUGGCUAAUACCUUCUACAACUCCGGGCCGCUUCGUCCAAGAGAUGGCUUCAGUUUGACCCAGCAAUGGCCUCGGAUGAAAUUCAACGGCAGAUCGAUCUGGUCCACGCAGACUUAGAUGAACACAUCACGGGCCUUCGUGGAGAUGCAGUUAAAAAGCUGCCUGGAGGAGAGAGAGGACACUACUGAGCUGUGAAUCACAGUUUCAAGUGAAAGAAAAGUGGGAAGUAGGAGAAAGACAUGUUUGCUUCAUGUGCCAAGUCAGAACCCCCACCCACCACUUGAUGUCGGAGGGGUCAGCCUGUCCAUUGACAACCCAACCCACCCCAAUCCUGCCCGCAUAAAAACACAAGUCUUUAAAGUGAGUCAGAGAUGGCUGGCCAUGUGUGGCCCUCCUUGGUUGCUUGGUGCAACUUUGCUGUUGCGGUUGGCGAAGGAUGAUACCUGCCUUACCUCGAGUUGAACUUUACUCGCUCAUGCUCAUGACAAAAUUCUAAGGUGACCAAAGUGGAACAAAGGGAGUUGUCUUCUCUGACUGUUUGGACUUUUGGGAACAGGUGUAGGCCUGCACCUUUGUCAAUCUGAUACUCUUGCAGUAUCUGGUUUCUUUUCUACUCUUUAGGUCUUGUUCUUCCUAAAGGAAUCUUUUCUGAUGUGAGAUCAGAUUUAGUUGAUAGAGUAGAUUUAAGUUUAUGUUAUACCAACAUGGAACUCGUUGCUCUAUGUUGAGCAUCUCUUCUUCCCUUUCCAGGAUCAUUAAUCGGGAGUUUGUUAUGGAAUUAAUAUGCUCGAGUUAACCGAUGACAUUAUUUCUAAUUAAUAUGCUCUAAAAACUUCAGUUUUGGUAUACUUAGUUUUAGCUCAGACUUGUAGAUAAGAUAGUGAGAAUGUUCAUUGAGGAGCUGUAAGACAAUAACAAUGCAUGACCACCAUUAAUAGAAGGAAAACAACUCAAGGGCAAUAACAAAUUAAAAAUAAAUGUUUCUGUUACAUCAGAGAUAUAUCAGGCAAUCGCUUUGAUUGUUCCAUUUGAGCUGAUGUGAUUAAACAAAAGAUAAAUUGCAUAUAUCAUAAGAACAAUAUAAGGAAAAACAAGAUUAUUACGAUCUUGAGUGCAUUUAUUUGGAGAUCAAAAUGCUAUUAUUUUUGUAGUAGUGCAGAAUAAGAUCAGCAUUCAACUUCAACUUAAGUUCCCCAAUUAGUGACCAGUGCAUGACUGUAAUAUAUGUAUCACCAAGGAACUCUCAGAGGGAGUACUUCACACACAUGAAUGCUCAGCUGAAUUGUUGCUGAGAGAUGAGAGACAUAUAUAUCUUGUUAUUGUAAUAGUAGAUAAAAAAACCCAUGCUUGAUCAGCUUGGAUAUUCUAAUGCAUAAACUCAAGGACACUUGAAAUAAAAUGAAAGCUAGAGUUUUUUUUUUCCUCCUCAGAAAAGGAAAAGAAAAGAAAAAGUCCAGAGUGAAAACAUGAAGACAAGAAAGGAAUCAAUUCCCACUUGGCUUAUUUUAUUCAGUGAUAAGUGUUGAAUAGACAUGUUGACAAAGUGGCCAAUGGUUUUGAGAUGUCUGCCAGCAAUUCUGAAGAGAUAAGAAAAUGAUAGGUUUGGUUAUAAUAUACAAACCUAUCUAAGGCCCUUCAAACAAAAACCACUCAAUAGCAUCUCUUUCUGCAUCCAAUACAAAUAACAUCAUUUCAUGUACUUAUUCAAAAGCAACCAUGUGUAAUUGGGUCACCAUCACAUUUUAGUAUUACUUCAUGUCUCCUCUCCUCCCUCUUUAACCAGGGUCACCCUCUC